rnacentral:rRNA from 1 species
GUGGGGAAUAUUGGACAAUGGGCGCAAGCCUGAUCCAGCCAUGCCGCGUGGGUGAAGAAGGCCUUCGGGUUGUAAAGCCCUUUUGUCCGGGAAGAAAGCGCCCUGGUGAAUAGCCGGGGUGGAUGACGGUACCGGAAGAAUAAGCACCGGCUAACUUCGUGCCAGCAGCCGCGGUAAUACGAAGGGUGCAAGCGUUACUCGGAAUUACUGGGCGUAAAGCGUGCGUAGGCGGUUCGUUAAGUCAGAUGUGAAAGCCCCGGGCUCAACCUGGGAAUUGCAUUUGAUACUGGCGGGCUAGAGUACGGUAGAGGGUGGUGGAAUUCCCGGUGUAGCAGUGAAAUGCGUAGAGAUCGGGAGGAACAUCCGUGGCGAAGGCGGCCACCUGGACCAGUACUGACGCUGAGGCACGAAAGCGUGGGGAGCAAACAGGAUUAGAUACCCGAGUAGUCC